UACAGGAGGGGAAAGCGGAAUUCCUAGUGUAGCGGUGAAAUGCGUAGAUAUUAGGAGGAACACCAGUGGCGAAGGCGGCUUUCUGGACUGAAACUGACACUGAGGCACGAAAGCGUGGGUAGCAAACAGGAUUAGAUACCCUGGUAGUCCACGCCGUAAACGAUGAGCACCAGGUGUCGGACUCGAGAGAGUUCGGUGCCGAAGCUAACGCAUUAAGUGCUCCGCCUGGGGAGUACGCACGCAAGUGUAAAACUCAAAGGAAUUGACGGGGACCCGCACAAGCAGCGGAGCAUGUGGUUUAAUUCGAAGCAACGCGAAGAACCUUACCAGAGCUUGACAUCCUCCUGAAAGGCCGGGUAAUGCCGGUCCUCUCUUCGGAGCAGGAGUGACAGGUGGUGCAUGGUUGUCGUCAGCUCGUGUCGUGAGAUGUUGGGUUAAGUCCCGCAACGAGCGCAACCCUUGCUGUCAGUUGCCAUCAUUGAGUUGGGCACUCUGACGGGACUGCCGGGGAUAACCCGGAGGAAGGCGGGGAUGACGUCAAAUCAUCAUGCCCCUUAUGUUCUGGGCGACACACGUGCUACAAUGGCCAGCACAAAGGGAUGCGAAGGAGCGAUCCGGAGCGAACCCCAAAAGCUGGUCCCAGUUCGGACUGCAGGCUGAAACCCGCCUGCACGAAGUUGGAGUUGCUAGUAAUCGCGGAUCAGAAUGCCGCGGUGAAUGCGUUCCCGGGUCUUGUACACACCGCCCGUCACACCAUGGAAG
rnacentral:rRNA from 1 species